UCAAAACCUUACUCGAUUGAUGCGACCCGAUCUAACCCAAAAAAAUCCAUUUCAUAUUUCAACUCGUAUAGACACAAUAACUUAGCACUAGUUAACUUUGAAAUAAGCCCGACCCAACCCCACUUCACCAAAAUGAUCUAAGUACUCAAAUCGACACCCCUACAGCUCAUAACAUCAAUCAAUUGAAAUUUCACGUAUCCAAGAUUCCGAGCAGGGGCCUAAUCGUACAUUCGUACGUACGUAAACCCUCAUCAAAUUUGUUCGUUUCAAACUCCAACCAUUUCUAGUCAAGCUUAUAAAAGAGAAACAAAUCAGACCAAAAUUUAACAUUUUUCAUUUCUAGUCUUAAUAAUAGCAAUUACCAAAGAACAAACUUGCUCUUCUUCAUCAUUCUUCUGGGUUUAAGCUUUUUCUGGAGAAUUUGUCGCUGGAAAGAAAAUGGAUGCUAUGUCGAGGCCUGGCUGUGGAUCAAGUGGAACGAAAACUCAGCUAUUAACCAAUCACUUCAAUGUAUUUGUUUGUUUAAUAUUUUUUAAUAAUAGUAGUUGUUUUUUUUUUUUUUUUUUCCUAAUUAGAUGAGUUACGAAGAAUUUAUGCUGAAGAGGGAAGAGUGGCUUAGAGAUUAUUUUCGCUCCGGACGUGGGCACCAGCUAUACAGAAUUGCAUAAGCUCCUCUGAACCAGGAAUCAACAUGGAUAUAUCUUCAGAAUUGACACAGGGGUUAGUUAAUUCUCCGGUACAACAUGAAACUGUUUUCAAACCAUAAGGAAAAGAGGCCUUAAAUGUCGGCAUGCACCGGCCCCAAGGUAUAAGUGGGUCACGUAUACUCAUUACCGGAACGUUAAUAAGUUUACGUGAAAUCACACUCAAAUUCACUUACAGUCAA